rnacentral:rRNA from 1 species
GAGUUUGAUCGUGGCUCAGGAUGAACGCUGGCGGCGUGCCUAACACAUGCAAGUCGAGCGAAGCACUUUGUUAGAACUUUUCGGAGGGACGAGGAAGUGACUGAGCGGCGGACGGGUGAGUAACGCGUGGCAACCUGCCUUACACAGGGGGAUAACAGUUAGAGAUGACUGCUAAUACCGCAUAAGACCACAUUGCCGCAUGGCAGGGUGGUAAAAACUCCGGUGGUGUAAGAUGGGCCCGCGUCUGAUUAGGUAGUUGGCAGGGUAGAGGCCUACCAAGCCUACGAUCAGUAGCCGGCCUGAGAGGGUGGACGGCCACAUUGGGACUGAGACACGGCCCAAACUCCUACGGGAGGCAGCAGUGGGGAAUAUUGCACAAUGGGGGAAACCCUGAUGCAGCGACGCCGCGUGAGUGAGGAAGUAUUUCGGUAUGUAAAGCUCUAUCAGCAGGGAAGAAAAUGACGGUACCUGACUAAGAAGCCCGGCUAACUACGUGCCAGCCGCCGCGGUAAC